ACAUGCAAGUCGAGCGGUAGAGUGGAGCUUGCUCCAUGAUUCAGCGGCGGACGGGUGAGUAAUGCCUAGGAAUCUGCCUGGUGGUGGGGGACAACGUUUCGAAAGGAACGCUAAUACCGCAUACGUCCUACGGGAGAAAGCAGGGGACCUUCGGGCCUUGCGCUAUCAGAUGAGCCUAGGUCGGAUUAGCUAGUAGGUGGGGUAAUGGCCCACCUAGGCGACGAUCCGUAACUGGUCUGAGAGGAUGAUCAGUCACACUGGAACUGAGACACGGUCCAGACUCCUACGGGAGGCAGCAGUGGGGAAUAUUGGACAAUGGGCGAAAGCCUGAUCCAGCCAUGCCGCGUGUGUGAAGAAGGUCUUCGGAUUGUAAAGCACUUUAAGUUGGGAGGAAGGGCAGUAAGUUAAUACCUUGCUGUUUUGACGUUACCAACAGAAUAAGCACCGGCUAACUUCGUGCCAGCAGCCGCGGUAAUACGAAGGGUGCAAGCGUUAAUCGGAAUUACUGGGCGUAAAGCGCGCGUAGGUGGUUCAGCAAGUUGGAGGUGAAAUCCCCGGGCUCAACCUGGGAACUGCCUCCAAAACUACUGAGCUAGAGUACGGUAAAGGGUAGUGGAAUUUCCUGUGUAGCGGUGAAAUGCGUAGAUAUAGGAAGGAACACCAGUGGCGAAAGCGACUACCUGGACUGAUACUGACACUGAGGUGCGAAAGCGUGGGGAGCAAACAGGAUUAAAUACC
rnacentral:rRNA from 1 species